GCUCUUGACUAGUUGCAUUUUUAACCCAUGAGGGUAUUGUGAUAAAAAGGGAUUUAAUGCAUAUAUAAAGCUAUCCCAUAAUUGGCUUUUGAAAGUAUUUUGAAAAAAUAAUUUGAUUCGUUAGCCUAAGGGCCCUAAAAGCCAUUUUAUAUGCAAAUAUAUUUUUAAAUAUUUUAUUUUGAGAAAAUUCUUGCUCCAAAAGUUAGAUCAUAUGAAAAUAUGAUUUUACAAAUUUUGUUGCAUUUUAUUUGGAGGGAUUUGGAGCUCCGAAUCAAUUUUGAGGUUCGAAAACAGAAAAUAGAAAAAAAAAAGGAAAAACCGAGGAAAACCGGCCGAACCGGACCGACCCGGUCAAACCGGACCGGACCGGACCGAACCGGACCGGCUCAGCCCGCCCGAGCCGCCCGCUCUCACUGACCGGUGGGACCCACGCGUCAUCUUCAACCUCCGUCCGAAAAAUCCGGCCACGCACGCCCGCGAACUGCCCACGACUUCACCUCCGAUUUCUCCGCGCUCGGGCCGUUUUCUCCAAAUCCUUGCGCGUCACCCCGAAGGCAUCGCUUUUCUCCUCCACUUCCCCCAAACCCCACGUCCAAUUUCGCACCAGUUAGAAAGUAAUUGCUCGCCGGAGUUCGUUGCUGCCGCGUUUCGCCGCCGUUCCGGUG
rnacentral:lncRNA from 1 species